AUGAAUCAUGAAAAGAGGAACCUGGGUGGUGGAGAUCCAAUGUGGAUGUGCGGUGCACCGCUUCUUCGAGCUUCACCGGUGAUCUGUCAAGGGUGGUGGCGGUCGUGUCGGACGCGGUUUGCAAUUCGAAGAUCUGCAGAGUCAGAUGUUUUUGUCGAAGAUCAAGAUGUGGAGGCAUGUGAAGUAACUUUAUGUUUAUCGGUUCUACUUCUUUUUUAUGCCUUUCUGCAAACACAAGAAGCAAAAGACAAACAAUGA